UACAAUAUCGGCGAUGGAGUUCGCCUUAAACCCCGUGCAAACGGUAAUGACUCCUACCACUGA
rnacentral:ncRNA from 2 species